GCGCGCGUAGCUCAGUGGAUAGAGCGUUGGCCUCCGGAGCCAAAGGUCGAAGGUUCGAAUCCUUCCGCGCGUG
rnacentral:tRNA from 1 species